rnacentral:lncRNA from 1 species
UUUUUUUUUUUUUUUUUUUUUUUUUUUUCCUUUUUCUUUUUUUCUUUUCGGUUUUCUCGGUCCAGGCCCAGAGGGGCUCUUCGUUUUUUUACCCUAAUUAUGUCCUUUAAAUGCUGCAUUAAUUACUGUGCAUGUCAGAGAGAGAGAGAGAGAGAGAGGGGAAUACGGACAGUCAAAACGCCGGAACAGCCAAGAGCCACCACUAGCCACCACUCAGCCCCUUUCCUCCUCCGAGAACCACCACCAUCGGCCGAGCCCAGCCAUCGGCCGAGCCAACACAGCCACUGAACCACCACCAUCGGCCGAGCCCAGCCAUCGGCCGAGCCAACACAGCCACCGAAAACCACCAUCGGCCAAGCCCAGCCAUCGGCCGAGCCAACACAGCCACCGUGAACCACCAACACCGCAAACACAGUAACCCACUCACUCACGCGGCCUAAAACCUACAUCAAAACCACCACCAACGGCCAGGCCCACACCAAACACCACCAACCACAAGUACUACGUCAAACACCCACACCCACACAACCCAAGCCGUAACCGUUUUCUGAAGCUUAAACGAUAACAUAAGGACAAAGGUAGUUCACCUUUUUUCUAAGAUUCAAGGCUAGAUCUAGGCUUUAUCAGUGUUGGUUUUCAAAAAAUAACGGUGGAUUUGAGAACUAGGGGAAAAAAGGAAUUCAAAACAUGUAGUUUUUUUAAAAAAAGAGGAGUUUCUUUUUCCGACGCGGCGGCGCCGCCACCCAUGGCCGGCCAGCCACUGCGCCGGUAAACAGCUUCCGGCGGUGUGUGGUUAGAGAGAGAAGAGAGCUUCUGAGCGUUUCUUUAGAGAGAGGAAGAAGUUGGAUUUAUGUUAUUUUAGGGUUUAUUUUCUAAUUUAUACUGCUGCCAUGACCAAUACUAUGGUGCACGCGGAUCUCUGUGUCCCCAUGGACCAUCAGGGUUGAACCGUUAGAUCCUAGAUCUAACGGCCAAUGUUAUCCCCUGUUUUGAUCAGAUGCGUCUCACCUCUUGGUUUUUACUUUGUUCUUCUUCUCUUGUGACGUCUGAUUAAGAUCUAAUGGCUAAGACUGUGUCUCCCCAUGAUCAAAUCUGGACGCUUCGAUCAAUCUGACGAUUCAGAUUUGAUCUGUUAAGCCCACUUUUUAUUUUGAGCCCAUUUCCUUUUUUCUGUUCCUUCUAGUAUUUUACUUUCUGCACCCCCUUUUCUUCUCUAUUCUUUUUUUUUAUUACUUUUUUAUGCAUCAUAUUUACUUUAUGCCCUUGCAUUUUUUUUAUUUUCUUUAUUUAUUUUCCAGCACCAUAUCUAUUUUACGUCUUGCAUUUUAUUUUCCAGUAUCAUAUUUAUUUAUUUUUUUUUUUGUCUUGCAUUUUUAUUUUGUUUAUUUUUAUUUUAUGCAUCAUAUUUACUUUAUGUCUUGCAUUUUUUUAUUUAUUUUUAGCGUCAUGUUUAUUUUAUGUCUUGCAUUUUUAUUUUCUUUUAUUUUAUUUCCAGCAUUAUAUUUAUUUUUAUGUCAUUUUUAUUUUCUUUUAUUUUAUUUCCAGCAUUAUAUUUAUUUUUAUGUCUUGCAUUUUUUAUUUAUUUUUAGCAUCAUGUUUAUUUUAUGUCUUGCAUUUUUAUUUUCUUUUAUUUAUUUCCAGCAUUAUAUUUAUUUUUAUGUCUUGCAUUUUAUUUUCUUUAUUUAUUUUAUGCACCAUAUGUAUUUCUUGUUUUGUAUUUCAUGCAUUUUAUUAUUUCUUCUAGCAUAUUUAUUUUAAUGCAUUUGAAAUUUUUAUUUAUUAUUGUCAAUUAGAAUGUAUCUAGGUCCAAUGUAAAUAAAAAUAAAAAUGAGAAUAUGCACCGACACUCACAUUUAUUUUUAUGUUUUCCGCCGAGGACGAUCAUGUGAUUUGAACCGUAUCCGAGGAAAAGGACCCUCACUUGAUCCAACGUCAUUUUAAGGGAUCCGGCGCGUUUAGACUUAUCUCCGCAUAAUUUCCAAAAAAAAAAAAAAAAAAAAAAAAAAAAAGGGGGAUCAAUCUUUAUUCUUUCUUUCUUAAUCAAAUCUUUAAUCAAUCUUUAAUCAAUCAAAACAUUUUUUCAAAUUUAAAAUCAAUCGAACUCACUUCUUUUAUUUCUUCUAUGCCUUCUCGGUCUCUUACCUUGCCUAAACUCUCCUUUUUUUCGAACUUUAAAAUCAAUCAAAACCAACCACUCGACUUUCUACCCCGAACUACAUGAUUUUGAUCCCAUUCGGGUAUGUAGGCAAAAGACUUUGUCUUUCCAAAUCAAUAAAAAAUAAACAAAAACUUUUUCCUUCUCCUUUCUUUUUAACCCAUCUCUUUAAUCUUUCCACACUUGAGCAUUUAUUUCCAAACAAAUAAUUAAUUUAGCAUAAAGAUAAAAUAAGCAAGAGGUUCCUAUAGAGUACUAUAGACGUUUAGGGUGCUAGUACCUUCCCUUUGCGUAACCAACCCCCGGACCUUUGAUCUCUUAAAAAAUAGGGUUUUUCGAGCUUUCUCCCUUUUCUUCGGAAAAAUAAAAGAUCGGUGGUGAUCUUAAAAAAUGCGAGUCAAUGCUAAUCAAUAGCUUGAUAUCCAAAAAUCACCGCGACAGAAAAAUGGCGACUCCACUGGGGAUCACACUCCUAAGUGGGUUAAACCUAUCUUGUUUUUCUUCAUCUUUAUGCUUUAUUAUUAUUUGAAACUGUAAAUACGUGCUUAAGUGUUUAUCUUUUACGUGAGUGGUGAGAUAAGUCCUACACCCGGACUUGAGGGAAACAUAAGAUAGGAUGGUGGUAUAAUCAUAGUGUCUUUCCGAGAGUGAGUUUCGGAUGUGGCACAUGUGAUAACCCCGCUCAAUGGAGGGAUCUUGGGAAUAUUACUAUGUUGGCAUGAGUAGUCGUGUUCAGCAUUAAUAUUUCCAAGCGACCUAUGAAGUUGAGGACCUUUAGUUACCUUUAGCCCAUCUUAGCCUUUUAGGACGUAGUGCGGUGGCUAAUCAAGAGUAGUCUUGAAUUGGUUGAUACGCGAUACUACACUCAAACGAGGCUUUCCUAUGGACGUCGUUGGACCGGGAGUAGUCCCGUAAUCCGACAAUAUCCGGAAGUGGUCAAUGACUUUGGGAACUUGGUAGAACCCGUGAUACAGGCACAUAUGAAACCAUAGUCCUUACCAAAUGGCGUGUUUACCCUUAACUCCAACAUUUUGGACUUAACUUCACCAUAUUUUCUCCAUACUUUGGCAUAAUCAUGCAUACAUGCAUCCAUGCAUAAACUCUUUUUUCAUCCAAAUUAUCGAAGGACUUAGACAAGCUUUUUGUAAACUUUGUAGAUAUGGACAUCCCACUGAGAAGCACUAGGAAGUACCUUUUCAAAAAAACAGACCUGUUGAGAUUAAGGGAGCUAGCAUCUUUAGUAAGUGAUCCAGUUGAUUUUCAAGCUCAUCAUGGGAAGUUGCUCAGAAUUCUUAGAGUAGAUGUUGAGGAAGGAUGCCUAGAGACCCUGGUUCAGUUCUAUGACCCGCUCUACCAUUGCUUCACAUUUCCCGAUUACCAGCUUGUCCCCACACUUGAAGAGUACUCCUACCUAGUUGGUUUACCCGUGCCAGACAAGAUACCUUUCCAUGGUUUUGAGCCUACCCCUAAACCCUCCGACAUCGCAGCCGCCCUCCAUCUUAAAACCUCUAUCAUCCAAGCAAACCUUACCUCUAAAGGAGGCCUCCAAGGUCUUCCCACCCACUUCCUCUACCAACAAGCCUCCAUAUUUGCUGAAGCAGCUAGCAUACUUGCCUUCCAUUCUAUCCUAGCCCUCCUUAUAUAUGGCCUUUUACUCUUCCCAAAUAUUGACAACUUCAUCGAUAUCAAUGCCAUUAAAAUCUUUCUUACAAAGAACCCCGUACCCACUCUACUCGCCGAUACCUACCAUUCUAUCCAUGACCGUACCCAGGCUGGCCGUGGAACCAUUUCUUGUUGUGCACCCUUACUCUAUCAGUGGUUUACCUUCCACUUACCUCAAUCCCGUGCCUUCAAGACCAAUGAUGAUAAGCUUUCUUGGCCUCGCCGAAUCAUGACUCUUGACCCAUCUGACAUUGUUUGGUACCAAGCAGCUAGUGAUGUUGGAGAGAUUAUUGUGAGUUGUGGUGAAUAUCCCAACGUACCUCUUUUGGGUAUGCGUGGCGGAAUUAGCUACAACCCGCUUCUCGCUCGACGACAAUUUGGGUACCCGAUAAAGACAAAACCAAACAACCUUGCCUUGACUAAUGAAUUCUAUCUUAACCAUGGAGAUCACUCGAACAAAAGGGAAAGAUUCGCACAAGCUUGGAGCGCUAUCCGCAGACUCAACAGAAGUCAGUUGGGAAAGAAAUCAGACUAUGUGCACGAAUCUUAUACCCAGUGGGUUAUUGAUAGGACCAAGAGCUUUGGCCUACCCUACCGCUUACCCAGAUACCUAUCGUCCACCAUCCCACCAUCAUCCUUGCCUAUCCCCUUUGAUACUAAGGAAGAGUUUCAUGAACAAUUAACCAAAGAAAGGCAAGAAAAAGAAACUUGGAAGAGGAGAUACCAGGAGCUCGAGCAAGAGAAUGAGAUUUUGAAGGGGAAGAUAGCCCAACAGAGCCGUGAGCUUUUUAUCCAGAACCAGAGGAUGAUUGAGAAGGACGACUUGCUUCGUCGGAAAGACGCUUUGCUCCACCGAGAUGCUAGAAGAAAGAGGAGGUUUAUGGAUUUGUUCUCCCGUGCACAUUCAGAUUCCGAGGAUCCAUCUACUCCGGGAGUUUGAGUCUGAAGUUCUUAGGACCUUAUGUUUAGAUUUUAGCUCCCGAAAUCUCUUGGCUUAAAAUAAAAAAAAAAAAAAAAAAUUUCUUUGUAAUAUUCCAAUGCUUAAGUGAAGUGUUUCAGUUUAUGAUGUUUACAAUUUCUCUAACAAGUUCUUCGAUAAUAAUUUGUUCCUUUCCUUUUUGCAUAAGCAUAAGCAUGCAUUCAUGGUUCCUAAAUCGAGUCUCACACUGUGUUCACUGCUUCAAAAGGGGAUCAACCGCCGCCCAAGGAAAGUGGCCCGACGAAUUCUCCACAAACCAACUCGCAUUUACAACACCAGGGCCAAUCGGAAGAGGAUGGAUAUAGUUGAACAAGAAAAUCAGAGUCUCAGGGAGGAGGUUGCCACUCUACGAGAGGGAAUGGAUAGGUUGACGACCAUGAUGAGUGCACUCCUGUCAGCCCAGAACUCUCAAGCUGCCGCCGCUACUGUAGAGCAGCCUUUGGUGAGCACAACCCCACUAUCUACGGUGACUUCUCCACCCCUCUUUUUGCCUCCAGGUUGUACAUGGGGAAUGCCACCUCCAGUCUGUGGAAGCUCCCAGCCCGCUGUAUCUGAAGCUCCACCUCCUUUUGCUCAGCAAUCAGCACCGGUUCCGCAACCCAGUACCUCUUUCCCUCAAGCUGCAAUGACUUAUUCAGCUCCACUGAUUCACACUAUUCAACAAGAGGUUGAACCAAUUUUCCAAGCUGAAAAUGUUGUAGCCUUCGAAAAGAUGGAAGAACUCCAAGAAAGAUUUGAUGGUAUGCAAAGGGAAGUCGAAGCCCUCCGAGGAAGAGAUCUGUUCGGGAAGGACGCCUGUGAAUUAUGCUUGGUCCCAAAUGUUACUAUCCCUCACAAGUUCAAGGUGCCAGACUUCGAGAAGUAUAAAGGGAACUCUUGUCCCCGCAGUCACUUGGUGAUGUACGCACGGAAAAUGUCCAUGUAUACUGACAAUCAUAAGCUGCUUAUUCAUUUCUUUCAGGACAGCCUGACUGGGGCCGCUCUGAAGUGGUAUAUGAAUUUGGACAGUGCGAGCAUUCGUACGUUCAAUGACCUGGGUGAAGCGUUCAUCCGACAGUAUAAGUACAAUUUGGACAUGGUCCCAGAUCGUGAUCAGCUCCGUGCGAUGACACAAAAAGAGAAGGAAACGUUCAAGGAGUAUGCUCAACGUUGGAGGGAAGUGGCUGCCCAGAUUGUCCCGCCGUUGGAAGAAAGGGAAAUGACUAAAAUAUUUCUGAAGACCCUGAGCCAGUUUUAUUACGAGAAAAUGGUUGCAAGUGCACCAACAGACUUCACUGAAAUGGUCAACAUGGGUGUGCGAUUAGAGGAAGGUGUCCGAGAGGGACGUUUGACUGUGGAAAGUACCCCUGCCGCAAGUAAUGCCAAGAAGUUUGGAGGCCACUUUGCGAAGAAGAAAGAUCAAGAGGUGGGAAUGGUAGCUCAUGGUAAGCCUCAGCAGAAUUUCACCCCAUAUCGUCAGGUUGCGAAUGUCGCAUCCACUAUCCCGAACCCAUCAUAUCACCAACAAAGGCCACAUUACCCCUACCAAUACCCUCCACAACAAUACCCUCCACAACAAUACCCUCCACAACAAUACCCUCCACAACAAUACCCUCCACAACAAUAUCCUCCACAGCAAUACCAUCAGCCACAAUACCCUCAAAAACAACAAAAUCGCCCGCAGACCCCCCAACAACCAUAUCACUCACAAAACCGCCAGAAAACAACCUUUGAUCCGAUCCCGAUGAAAUAUGCUGACUUACUCCCCGCCCUGCUCGCCAAAAACCUUGUCCAGGUCAGAACACCCCCUCGUACACCAGAUGUUUUACCUCCCUGGUUUCGCCAUGAUUUAACCUGUGCUUUCCACCAAGGGGCCCCAGGUCACGACGUUGAAAACUGCUAUGUCCUGAAGAAUGAAGUGCAAAAACUAGUCCGGGCCAACUUGCUAUCCUUUAAAGAUCAGAAUCCCAAUGUUCAGGCGAACCCUCUACCGAACCAUGGGCCUGCUGUUAACAUGAUACAAGAUUGUGAUGAAGACGGUGUCAUCCUGAACGUCCAGCACGUUCGAACUCCCCUGGUCCCAAUACAUAUCAAGAUGUGCGAGGCAGCUCUGUUUGACCAUGAUCAUGCAGCGUGUGAAAUAUGUCCUGUGAAUGUAAAAGGAUGCCCGAAGGUACAAGAGGACGUACAAGGGCUGAUAGACAGCAGAGAACUUAUCAUCACGAGGAAGGACAAAGAAGUGUGCGUCAUCACCCCCGAGUUUCAGCGGUUGGAAAUAAGCUAUAACAGUGGGGAAUCCACUACUACUCCACUGGUGAUUAGCUUGCCAGGACCUAUGCCGUAUGCUUCUCUAAAAGCGGUUCCUUACAAGUAUAGUGCCACGAUGUUGGAAGGUGGACAGGAGGUGCCUUUGCCCUCUCUAACUCCUGCGGUUUCUGUGGACAACAUUGCUAAUGACGGUAAAGUUCUGAGGAAUGGACGUGUUAUCCCCACAUUGUUUGCAAAGAAAGUGAAUGAUCCGGCAGUUAAACAGGUGACAGUGAACGGCCCCGGUACAAGGAAGGAAGUAGGCCAGUCCAAUGGGACUAGUAAGAAUUCUGAUCAUGACGAAAUUCUGAAACUGAUCCAGAAGAGUGAGUAUAAAGUAGUAGACCAGCUGCUGCAAACUCCCUCUAAGAUAUCCAUUUUGUCUCUGCUAUUGAACUCAGAAGCACACCGUGAGGCUCUAAUGAAAGUGUUGGACCAAGCUUUUGUGGAGAGGGACGUGACUGUUAAUCAAUUGGACAGUAUAGUAGGAAACAUUACUGCCUGCAAUAAUUUAAGUUUUAGUGAUGAAGAACUUCCUGAGGAGGGGAGGAACCACAAUCUGGCGUUACAUAUAUCGGUGAACUGCAAGUCUGAUGCUCUGUCGAAUGUACUUGUGGACACUGGUUCCUCAUUGAAUGUAAUGGCCAAAUCCACAUUAGAUCAACUUUCCUACCGGGGGCCUCCCAUGAGAAGAAGCGGGGUGGUUGUCAAAGCGUUUGAUGGAUCAAGAAAGUCUGUUAUCGGGGAGGUUGAUUUGCCCAUUACAAUUGGGCCGUUUGUUUUCCAAAUUACAUUCCAGGUGAUGGAUAUCCAAGCCGCAUACAGUUGCCUUUUGGGUAGGCCAUGGAUCCAUGAAGCUGGGGCCGUGACAUCCACCUUGCAUCAAAAGCUGAAGUUUGUCAGAAAUGGGAAAUUGAUCACUGUGAGUGGAGAGGAAGCCUUGUUGGUUAGUCAUUUGUCAGCUUUUUCCUUUAUUGGUGCUGAUGAAACAGAAGGAACCUCUUUCCAAGGCCUGACUUUAGAGGGUAAAAAGCCAGAGAGAAAUGAAGUAUCUUUUGCUACUUGGAAGAGCGCACAGAAAGUGGUGCAGGAAGGAACAGGUGUAGGAUGGGGAAAAGUUGUGCAGUUGCUGGAGAGUAAAAACCGUGAAGGACUAGGAUUUGCUUCUUCUGCAGGAUCCGCAACGAACAGUGUUGGAUCAAGCUCCAUUACUAGCACCUUUUGUAGCGCCGGGUUCAUCAACAACUCGCCAGAAGCCAAUGCUGUCUUGGAAGAUGCUCCUGAAGAGAUAGUGCUUGCAUUUGUCACACCUGGAAAACUUGUUCGCAACUGGGACGCGGUUGACAUCCCUUCAGUGGUUCAUGCAUCAAAGUAAUGUGUCUUUGUUUUUCUGUUUGUUUGUUUUUCAAAAAAGGAUCCUUUCGUCUUGCCCAGGACGAAAGCGCAAUUAUGUAGGGCUGUUUUGUUUCAAGCACUACUCUUAUUAAUGGAAAAUGUGGUUUAUCCCGAUAUCUAUGCUUAUUGCUCUUUCUGGAAAAUGGUAACACAAAAAACCCAAAAUAUUUUAUUUUUGUUUUCUGAUUUCAAUUAAUUAUAAAAAGUCCGCAUUGUUCACUCAUUUUCUAAAAUCAAUCAUCAAUCAUAUGCAGACUAGGCAUUUAUGAGCCCGUUGAACAUAAUAACCCUGCACUCUCUCCCAACUACGAAUCUCCUGUCUACGAGGCUGAAGAGGAGGAGGAUGAUGAAAUCCCGGAGGAACUUGCUCGGUUAUUGGAAUAUGAAAAGAAAACCAUUCAGCCUCAUGAGGAGGUAGUAGAGGUGAUUAACUUGGGAACCGAGGAAGAUAAGAAGGAAGUCAAGAUUGGGGCAUCGCUUGAGGCAACUGUCAAACGAAGGGUGAUUGAAUUACUCAAAGAAUACGUCGAUGUGUUCGCAUGGUCGUACCAAGAUAUGCCCGGCUUGGAUCCCCGUAUUGUGGAGCACCGUUUGCCUUUGAAGCCCGAAUGCCCACCAGUCAAACAGAAACUGAGAAGAACUCGCCCUGACAUGGCUCUUAAGAUCAAAGAGGAAGUACAGAAGCAGAUCGAUGCAGGUUUUCUUGUCACAUCAGAGUAUCCCCAAUGGUUAGCCAACAUAGUGCCUGUUCCAAAGAGGGACGGCAAGGUCAGGAUGUGCGUUGACUACCGGGAUUUGAACAAGGCUAGUCCGAAAGAUGACUUUCCUCUACCUCACAUCGAUGUAUUGGUUGACAGCGCUGCAAAGUCCAAGGUCUUCUCCUUCAUGGACGGUUUCUCUGGGUACAAUCAGAUCAAGAUGGCAGUUGAAGAUAGAGAAAAGACAUCUUUCAUCACGCCUUGGGGCACCUUUUGUUACAGGGUAAUGCCCUUUGGGUUGAUAAAUGCAGGUGCCACUUACCAAAGAGGCAUGACCACUCUCUUUCAUGACAUGAUGCACAAAGAGAUAGAAGUGUACGUGGAUGAUAUGAUUGUCAAGUCAGGCACUGAAGAAGAACAUGUCGAGUACUUGCUGAAGAUGUUUCAACGGCUGAGAAAGUACCAACUUCGACUGAAUCCCAACAAAUGUACCUUUGGUGUUAGAUCUGGAAAACUCUUGGGCUUCAUUGUCAGUCAGAAAGGUAUUGAAGUAGAUCCUGACAAAGUCAAGGCCAUUAGAGAAAUGCCGAUUCCACAAACAGAGAAACAAGUGAGAGGUUUUCUUGGGCGUCUAAAUUACAUUUCUCGUUUCAUCUCACACAUGACAGCCACGUGCGGACCUAUAUUCAAGUUGCUUCGAAAAGAUCAAGGGGUUGUUUGGACCGAAGAUUGUCAAAAGGCUUUUGAUAGUAUCAAGAAUUAUCUGCUAGAACCUCCAAUUCUUAUACCUCCAGUUGAAGGAAGGCCUCUGAUUAUGUACUUGACUGUGUUAGAAGAUUCUAUGGGCUGUGUGCUCGGACAACAGGAUGAGACCGGAAGGAAAGAACAUGCUAUCUACUACUUGAGCAAGAAGUUUACCGAUUGUGAGUCCAGGUACUCCCUACUUGAGAAAACUUGUUGUGCACUAGCUUGGGCUGCCAAGCGUCUUCGUCACUACAUGAUUAACCACACCACCUGGCUAAUAUCCAAGAUGGACCCGAUCAAGUAUAUCUUCGAGAAACCCGCUCUGACAGGAAGAAUUGCUCGUUGGCAGAUGUUGUUAUCCGAGUAUGAUAUCGAAUACCGCACCCAGAAGGCAAUUAAGGGAAGUGUUCUUGCUGAUCAUUUGGCUCACCAACCAAUUGAGGACUAUCAACCCAUCAAGUUUGACUUUCCUGAUAAAGAGAUUAUGCACUUGAAGAUGAAGGAUUGUGAUGAACCAUUGCUUGGAGAAGAUCCAGAUCCCGAGUCUAAAUGGGGUUUGAUUUUUGAUGGAGCCGUGAAUGUCUUUGGCAAUGGAAUUGGGGCAGUUAUUAUCACUCCUGAAGGUAAUCAUCUCCCUUUCGCCGCAAGGUUACAGUUUGAUUGCACCAACAAUGUGGCAGAGUAUGAAGCAUGUAUCCUGGGCAUUGAAAAAGCCAUUGACUUGAAAAUCAAGAACCUUGACAUUUACGGGGAUUCAGCUCUCGUAAUCAACCAAAUCAAAGGAGAAUGGGAAACUCGCCACCCCGGCUUGAUUCCAUACAAAGAUUAUGCAAGGCAUUUGCUAACCUUCUUCAACAAAGUGGAGCUUCACCACAUCCCUCGUGAUGAGAACCAGAUGGCAGAUGCGUUAGCAACUUUAUCCUCCAUGUACGAAGUGAAUCACCGGAACAAUUUGCCAACAAUCAGAAUUCAGCGCCUCGAGAGGCCCGCCCACGUGUUUGCAGUCGAAGAGGUUGUUGAUGAUAAGCCCUGGUUCCAUGAUAUCAAGUGUUUCCUUCAAAGCCAGGAAUAUCCACCCGAAGUAUCCAACAAAGACAGGAGAACUUUGAGAAGAUUGUCUGGUAAUUUCUUCCUAAAUGGGGAUGUUUUGUACAAAAGAAACUUUGACAUGGUACUACUCAGGUGUGUGGAUAAGCAAGAAGCAGAAUUUUUGAUGCACGAGGUACAUGAAGGCUCCUUUGGAACUCACUCCAAUGGACAUGCAAUGGCAAAGAAGUUGUUGAGAGCAGGUUACUACUGGAUGUCGAUGGAGACAGAUUGUUGCAAGCACGCUAGGAAGUGCCACAAAUGCCAGAUUUAUGCUGACAGAAUUCAUGUACCACCAACUACACUUAAUGUUCUUUCUUCUCCAUGGCCUUUCUCUAUGUAGGGCAUCGAUAUGAUUGGUAGAAUCGAACCGAAGGCUUCAAACGGGCAUCGUUUCAUUCUAGUGGCUAUUGAUUACUUCACCAAGUGGGUUGAAGCAGCAUCUUAUGCAAAUGUGACUAAGCAAGUUGUGGUCCGCUUUAUUAAGAAUCAAAUCAUCUGCCGUUAUGGUGUGCCCAACAGAAUCAUUACAGAUAAUGGAACGAACUUGAAUAACAAGAUGAUGAAAGAUUUGUGUGAAGAGUUCAAGAUUGAGCAUCACAAUUCUUCUCCUUACAGACCUCAGAUGAAUGGCGCAGUUGAAGCUGCAAACAAGAAUAUCAAGAAGAUAGUGCAGAAGAUGGUGGUCACAUACAAAGACUGGCAUGAGAUGCUACCGUAUGCUUUGCAUGGGUAUCGCACUUCGGUGCGUACUUCAACAGGGGCAACCCCCUUCUCUUUGGUGUAUGGUAUGGAAGCAGUACUCCCUGUGGAGGUUGAGAUUCCAUCAAUGAGAGUUCUAAUGGAGGCCCAGUUAUCAGAAGCUGAAUGGUGCCAAAGCAGAUAUGAUCAGUUGAAUCUAAUUGAAGAAAAACGCAUGAAAGCCUUGUGCCACGGACAACUUUAUCAACAGAGGAUGAAGCAAGCUUUCGACAAGAAGGUUCGUCCUCGUGUGUUUCAAGAAGGAGAUCUUGUGCUCAAGAAGGUUUUAUCUUUCCAACCCGAUUCUAGGGGCAAGUGGACGCCUAAUUACGAAGGCCCAUAUGUCGUCAAGAGAACUUUCUCUGGUGGUGCACUGACUCUUACGACUAUGGAUGGGGAUGAGCUCCCUCGUCCCGUGAAUGCGGAUGCAGUCAAGAAAUACUUUGUCUAAAAAUAAAAGAACAGCUCGAUAAGUCGAAAACCCGAAAGGGCGGCUUAGGCAAAAAUGAGCGUCUCGGUGGGUCGAAAACCCGAAAGGGCGGCCCAGGCAAAAAUUAGAGACAUCAAACAGAAAAAUAAUUAGCCUGAUAGGUCGAAAACCCGAAAGGGCGAUCUAUGCAAAAUUUAAGGACCAAAAGACAAAGUAACUGCAUCGAGUUGAUCUUCGUUCAUUUGAGACACAAUGGAAUGUCAGGGAGACCCUGAAUCUGAAGCAUCCAAACAGUGGAAUUCAAGGUUGUCAGAGGGAACAACGGUUAUUGUGUUCAAUGAACCUUCGAUUUAUAUUUACCAUUUUCCAAACUUUGUAAGAUCAGUGGAGCCAUGCCAUUGGCAGGUCACCACUCUUUCAAAUAAAUUUGAGCCUGUUGCCUUUCAUUUGGAAUUCUCAUUUAUUCAGCUUAUAAAACCUUUCCUUUUUAUGGUAGCAUUUGAAACAAAAUAUUUCUCAAAAUCAUAAAUUUUCUUUCGUGUCUUUUUGAAAAGCACAAACAACAAAACACUUUUUCUUUGAACUCGUGAAUAGAUGAAGGGUGUCUCAACAGCUACCAUGAGAAUGGGUAAACCUUGCAGGUUGCACGAGGUCAAUUGUUUUUUUCAAAAAAAAAAAAAAAAAAAUAAAUAAAUAAAUAAAUAAUAAGCAUGACCACAGAAGCACCAGCUCUUCUACCAUGUUUUUCGGAUUGGCACGUUCUCCCCAAGAAAUGUUUAUUCCCCAUCAGUUGCUGCGGACUUUACCCCGUCGCUAUUUUGAUAUACCCUAGUGGCAUCAUCCCCAUUGAAGGUUGCAGAGUGUUUGUGAUGCGACGUCGGGUCACUUUCAAUCUUACCUGUCCAACCUUGUUCCACCAAAUCUAUCAUUCACACAAUCAUACAAGUCAAUCCUCCAUACAGUCAUACAAGUCGUGUCGUCAUUCGGGCAUUCAUACGUUCAUGCGUAUACACAUUCAUGCAUAUACAAUAAAGACAAUAUCAUGCGUACAUGGCUGCAUUAACCAUCAUGAGUCUUGCUUCAUUUAUCUUUUCAUUUCAAUCAAUCAUGAAUAAUUUGUAACCUUCUAUUUCCCCGAGUGUCAUCCCCAAUGGAUCUGAUCCAAAGGUGUCACCCUCUCUCCGUCAAGUGGCAAUUUCUUUAAUGAACAGCUUGUGCAUCAUUUGCCUCUGUUUCAUGUCAUCAGUUGAUUAGUUCGGCAAUAACCCGAGCAGUUGACAUCUAUCUUUGUUUCUUAUCAGUUGACUAGUUCGGCAAUAACCCGAGCAGUUGACAUCUAUCUUUGUUUCUUAUCAGUUAAUUAGUUCGGUAAUAACCCGAGCAGUUGACAUCUAUCUUUGUUUCUUAUCAGUUGACUAGUUCGGCAAUAACCCGAGCAGUUGACAUUUAUCUUUGUUCUUAUCAGUUAAUUAGUUCGGCAAUAACCCGAGCAGUUGACAUUUAUCUUUGUUUUUUGUCAGUUGACUAGUUCGGCAAUAACCCGAACAGUUGACAUUUAUCUUUGUUUCUUAUCAGUUGAUUAGUUCGGCAAUAACCCGGACAGUUGAUAUUUAUCUUUGUUUUUUGUCAGUUGACUAGUUCGGCAAUAACCUGAACAGUUGACAUUUAUCUUUGUUUCUUGUCAGUUGAUUAGUUCAGCAAUAACCUGAACAGUUGACAUUUAUCUUUGUUUCUUGUCAGUUGAUCAGUUCGGCAAUAACCCGGACAGUUGAUAUUUAUCUUUGUUCCUUGUCAGUUGAUCAGUUCGGCAAUAACCCGGACAGUUGAUAUUUAUCUUUGUUCCUCAUCAGUUGGCUAGUUCGGCAAUAACCCGGACAGUUGAUAUUUAUCUUUGUUCCUCAUCAGUUGGCUAGUUCGGCAAUAACCCGGACAGUUGAUAUUUAUCUUUGUUUUUUUGUCAGAUUGGCUAGUUCGGCAAUAACCCGGACAGUUGAUAUUUAUCUUUGUUUUUUGUCAGAUUGGCUAGUUCGGCAAUAACCCGAACAGUUAACAUUUAUCUUCAAUUCUGGUCAGUUGGCUAGUUCGGCAAUAACCCGAACAUCUGACAUUUAUCUUUGUUCCUUUGUCGUCAGUGGCAGUUCGUCGUCAACCCGAACAGCUGACAUUUACCCCCAGUAAAACCAUGUGAUCCCCAGUCGGACCCCUUUUCUUUAACAAAAUCGGGUACCAUUUGGUUUUGUUAUUCCCAGUCGAGCCAUUUACCUCGUCUUGCAUUCAUACUUGCAUCGCAAGCAUUCGCAACAUUACGUGCAUAACAGUGCAUUCAUAGCAUUUUGUAGUUGAAAUUGGUCAAAAAUGGUGUACUCUGUAUUUAAAUCUCUUCGACCCGUCGCUUUAAAAGUUUCACUUUUAAAUCUCCGUAACGAAGAGACUUAAAUAGGGGCAUCUGUCAUACCCCAUUUUUGACCCGUUUUUAUUUCUUUUUUCUCGUCUUUUAAGCCGGAAAUUUCCAUCAUUUCAGAUGAAAUUUCGGCAGGGAGGUAUUUUAAAAUACCUCAUUUUUGUUUUGAAGACGCCCCUUUUUUUAUUAUUAUUAUUUAUUUAUUUACCUUUUUUAUUAUUAUUAUUAUUUUUAUUUUUAGUUAUUAUUUUCUUUUCUUUUCCUUUCCUGUUAUUAAGUGUUUUUUAUUAUUUCCGUUUUUUUUAUUAUUAUCUUUAUUAGUAUCUUCUUUUCGUUUUUUUUCGUUUUUUUAUUAUUAUUAUUAUUUUAUUUUUUAGUUUAUUUUUUUUUUUUUAUUUUGCUGUUUUAUAUUUUGCUUUUUUUCUUUCUUUUUCUUUCUUUUUCCUUUUCCUUUCCUUUUUUCUUUUUUCUUUUCGGUUUUCUCGGUCCAGGCCCAGAGGGGCUCUUCGUUUUUUUACCCUAAUUAUGACCUUUAAAUGCGGCAUUAAUUACUGUGCAUGUCAGAGAGAGAGGGCAGAGGUGAAUACGAACAGUCGGAAUACCAACAGCCAAGCCACCACUAACCAUCGGCCUAGCCACCGCUCAACACCACCCUCCCCCUCCGUGAACCACUAGCCACCACCAGCCACCACUCAGCAACACCCUCCUCCUCCGUGAACCACCAACAAAA